AAAAGGUUGAUAGCAAAAGAACUACAAGGUUGAGAACUACAAAUUUAUCGGAAAAAAGAAUAAAUAUUUUAAGACCAAAAGAAUAAAUUUUAAAUAUUUUUUUUUAGUUUAGUUGGUAAAUUAUAAGACCUCAAAUUUUAAGACUAAAGUUCAACCCUUGCCUUAGUAGUUUGGGUUUUCUUUGUUGUUUGUUUCCUCAUCCUUUUGCUUUAUAUUGUUUUAUUNNNNNNUAGGAGUAUUUCUUAUACUUUGUGUUAUUUUUGUAUUGGACUGAAUUUUCGUUUCUUAUUAUAUAUAUUUUAUUUGCCACUCAAAA
rnacentral:lncRNA from 1 species